rnacentral:lncRNA from 1 species
CGGGGCUCCUGCUUGUUCCUGGCCCUUGCCUGCUCGUGGAGCGAGAGGGCCAGGUCAGCAGCAGCGGGUUGGGUGGCUGCAACUGCACCAGGGAGGGCAGAUCCUGCCUGUUCCCAGCCCCUUCCAAGAGCACAGGAAGGCUCGGAUCCACAGCUGCAGUUUUGGCUGAUGUAGCCCCGCUACGUAUUGCAGGAGGGUGGGGCUCCUGCCUGUUACGUGAAGCAGGGGGCCUGGAUCUGCUGCCGAGGUUUGAGGUUUGGGCGGCUGCAGUGGCACCCGGGAAGUUUCUGCCCCAAAUCAGAAGGAGUGGGGCUCCCACUGACUCCACAGAGUGUGCAGCCCCAGCCCUCCUCUCUGCUGCAGCCGGGGUAAUGGCAGCAGCUGUUGCCAUCAACUGCAUUUGGAAAUAGAACCUUAAAAGAGGUACUUAAGUUAAAAUGUGGUUUUAGGGUGGGUUCUAACUCAAUACCACUGUGCCCUUAUAAAAAGAGGAGAUUAGGACACAGUCGACAAAGAGGAUGACCAUGUGAGGACGCAGCAAAAAGGCGACCACCUGGGAGCCAAGGAGAGAGGCCUCAGAAGAAACAAAACCUGCCAACCCCUUGAACUCAGACUCUCAGCCUCCAAAAUUGUGAGAAAAUUCUUCUGUUGUUUAAACCAUCCAGUCUGUAGCAUUUUGCUAUGGCAGCCGUAGAAAACUCAUACAAAGGGUAACAGCAAGAGUCUAUUUGUCAAGGUUCUCACUCUGUCACCCAGUGGCACAGGCUGGAAGGCAAUGAUGUGAUCACAACUCACUGAAGCCUUGAACUCCUGAACUCAAGAGAUCCUCCCUUCAGCCUCCCGAGUAGCCAGGACUACAGGUGCGCACCACCAUGCCAGACAUGGAGCUGAAGAAGCUGGCAACCCAGAAACAUCAGGGGAAAUAAACCAAAAAGCCCCAACAAAUGGCUGCUUUCUCUAGCUAAGGACCAGAAAAUGGGCAACCUAUCAAGGCGAAGAACUCUUAGACAAUAACCUCUCUAUUCCCAACAAUGCCAUGGAUAAAACUGUGACCUCCCGACACACCAACCGACCUCAAGAGAAAAGACUGAGAGAAGUGCCUAGACUCACUUUUCCCAGGCACUAGAGUCAACAACAAAUUGUUAUUUUUACCUUUCCAAGACAAUUAAAAAAAACUCAAAACACUUUAGUCCCUUUUACCUUCUCCAGCCUUUUGUGCUUGUAUCAUGCAUUUGAGUUAUAUGUACAUUUUAAACCUCAAAAGAUAUUAUUAUUGUUGUGCAGCAUAAAUACUCAUUGAGUUUUCCCCACGUAUUUACAUUUCCCAUGAAUUUUUAUAAUUCUCUGUUUUUCUGUGGUCUCAGUAGAGAUUAUUUCCUUUAAUCUGAAGUCUCCUUUUAGUGUUUCCUUCAGCAUGUGUCUUCUGCUGAUGAAUUCUUUCACUUAUCUUCACGUUUGAUGUUUUUCAAUGGGUACAAAAUUAUUGGUUGGCUGUAAUUUUCUUUUAAUACUGGAAAAAUAUCAUUCUCUUGUUUUCUAGCUCUGUCACUUCUUUUGAAAAGUC